CAGUAGCCACGGUAAUACGGAGGGAGCUAGCGUUGUUCGGAAUUACUGGGCGUAAAGCGCGCGUAGGCGGUUACUCAAGUCAGAGGUGAAAGCCCGGGGCUCAACCCCGGAACUGCCUUUGAAACUAGGUGACUAGAAUCUUGGAGAGGUCAGUGGAAUUCCGAGUGUAGAGGUGAAAUUCGUAGAUAUUCGGAAGAACACCAGUGGCGAAGGCGACUGACUUGACAAGUAUUGACGCUGAGGUGCGAAAGCGUGGGGAGCAAACAGGAUUAGAUACCCCUGUAGUCCCUGUCUCUUAUAC
rnacentral:rRNA from 1 species